GAUGAACGCUGGCGGCGUGCCUAAUACAUGCAAGUCGAGCGAACUUUUGGGAGCUUGCUCCCAAUAGUUAUCGGCGGACGGGUGAGUAACACGUGGGGAACCCCCCUCUAAGAGUCGGAGAACAUCUGGAAACCGCAGCGAAUACAGGAGAACAUUUAAGACCACAUGUCCUUCAAUUAAAAAGUAGCGUUUAGCUACCACUUACAGAUGGACCCGCGCCGCAUUAGCUAGUUGGUAAGGUAACGGCUUACCAAGGCAACGAUGCGUAGCCGACCUGAGAGGGUGAUCGGCCAAACUGGAACUGAGACACGGCCCAGACUCCUAGGGGAGGCAGCAGUAGGGAAUCUUCCGCAAUGGGCGAAAGCCAGACGGAGCAACGCCGCGGGGGGGAGGAAGGUCUUCGGAUCGUAAACCUCUGUUUUUAGGAAGAAAAAGUAUCGUUAGAAUAGAGCGGCACCUUGACGGUACCUAAUCAGAAAGCCACGGCUAACUACGUG
rnacentral:rRNA from 1 species